rnacentral:rRNA from 1 species
AACGAACGCUGGCGGCAUGCCUAACACAUGCAAGUCGAACGAGACCUUCGGGUCUAGUGGCGCACGGGUGCGUAACGCGUGGGAACCUGCCCUUAGGUUCGGAAUAACUCCCCGACAGGGGUGCUAAUACCGGAUAAUGUCUUCGGCCCAAAGAUUUAUCGCCUUUGGAUGGGCCCGCGUUGGAUUAGCUAGUUGGUAGGGUAAAAGCCUACCAAGGCGACGAUCCAUAGCUGGUCUGAGAGGAUGAUCAGCCACACUGGGACUGAGACACGGCCCAGACUCCUACGGGAAGCAGCAGUGGGGAAUAUUGGACAGUGGGCGAAAGCCUGAUCCAGCAAUGCCGCGUGAGUGAUGAAGGCCUUAGGGUUGUAAAGCUCUUUUACCCGGGAUGAUAAUGACAGUACCGGGAGAAUAAGCCCCGGCUAACUCCGUG